GAUGAAUGUUGGCGGUGCGCCUAAUACAUGCAAGUCGGACGGUAGCACAGAGAGCUUGCUCUCGGGUGACGAGUGGCGGACGGGUGAGUAAUGUCUGGGGAUCUGCCCGAUAGAGGAGGAUAACCACUGGAAACGGUGGCUAAUACCGCAUAACGUCGCAAGACCAAGGAGGGGGACCUUCGGGCCUCUCACUAUCGGAUGAGCCCAGAUGGGAUUAGCUAGUAGGCGGGGUAACGGCCCACCUAGGCGACGAUCCCUAGCUGGUCUGAGAGGAUGACCAGCCACACUGGAACUGAGACACGGUCCAGACUCCUACGGGAGGCAGCAGUGGGGAAUAUUGCACAAUGGGCGCAAGCCUGAUGCAGCCAUGCCGCGUGUAUGAAGAAGGCCUUCGGGUUGUAAAGUACUUUCAGCGGGGAGGAAGGCGAUGUGGUUAAUAACCGCAUUGAUUGACGUUACCCGCAGAAGAAGCACCGGCUAACUCCGUGCCAGCCGCCGCGGUAA
rnacentral:rRNA from 1 species